CCCUACAAAGAGAGCUGUGGAGAAAUAAGGGUCAUGUGGUAUGAGGUGACUGGUGGAACCUAAGGCGGUGUCGCCAUAGGAGAACUAGCAUCUUGUUGCAGAUUCUUGCAGUGAUAGUUUAAACAACAACAACAACAACAACAACAACAACAAGAAAAGACUUUAAAAUGGGUUUGGGAAGAACCUGGAAGCGAUCGGGAGCUUGAAUAAACAAUGAGAAGGCAUUUCUCACUGCCCUGAGAAAGACCCAACAAGCAGCUGAAAGAGUCAGAUACAGAUAUUUGCACACAAGCAAUGGACAGAAGCAGCUGACCUUUGUAUUACAGAAGGGUGAAGGAAGCUGAGAAGGGUGCUCCUGUAGGAGGACCAGCAAGAAUCUGGACCCCCGAGGGCACCAAAUAGACAGCAUACACCAGCUGAUAUGAGGCCCCCAACACACAUACAAUAGAGGACUUCCAGGUUUAUGUUCAUUCAGAAAUGAUGCACCUAGCCCUCAAGAGACUGGAGGCCCCAGGGAGCUUAGAGGUCAGGUGCGAUGGGGGUGGGUGGGAACAUCCAU
rnacentral:lncRNA from 1 species